UCAAAACAUUCCAUUCCCAGUCUGCCAUUGUAAGGGGAUGAGAAGUGGUUCAAUUCUGACAUCCACAUUCUAAGGUGUCUACCUCAGGUUGCUGAGCAGAGUGGGACCUUUCCAGUCCAUGUUUCUGAUAUCCACGCUGGAGCUCACAAACUUCUGCUACAACUGGACACGUCCAUUACCUAAGAGCUGGACUAGGUGGACAAGUCAAGUCUUGUGAGAGAGAAUGUGGAGAUGAACCCAUAAGAUCACAUAUGUGAAAGAAUUUUGUAAACCACGUAGUCACUUUCCUGAGCACUAAGACAGCAGACAUCAAAAAGAGGAAAGUGAUAACUUCAUCUGACUCCAUGAAUGGUGGAAGCACAGGAGCAACAGAUGAACUCACAAGUAUGGAAAAACUGUCCUUGAAAACACUUCCUUUUCGCGUGUAUCGUCACUUUCUUUAUUCCGAUA